GACGUAGGGCGCGAGCGUUGUUCGGAGUUACUGGGCGUAAAGGGUGUGUAGGCGGUUCUCUAAGUUUGGUGUGAAAUCUCCCGGCUCAACCGGGAGGGUGCGCCGAAAACUGGAGGCUAGAGUGCGGGAAGGGAGAGUAGAAUUCCUGGUGUAGCGGUGAAAUGCGUAGAUAUCAGGAGGAAUACCGGUGGUGUAGACGGCUCUCUGGACCGCGACUGACGCUGAGACACGAAAGCGUGGGUAGCAAACAGG
rnacentral:rRNA from 1 species